rnacentral:rRNA from 1 species
CCCUUAGACGUUCUGGGCCGCACGCGCGCUACACUGACCAGUGCAACAAGCAUCCGUCCUUGGCCGACAGGCUCGGGCAAUCUUUGAACGCUGGUCGUGAUGGGGAUAGACUUUUGCAAUUUUUGGUCUUCAACGAGGAAUUCCUAGUAAACGCAAGUCAUCAACUUGCAUUGAUUACGUCCCUGCCCUUUGUACACACCGCCCGUCGCACCUACCGAUUGAAUGGUCCGGUGAAAUCUCGGGACGGCGGCUUGGUCGCUUGCGUCCGACUGCUGAAACGUGAUUAAACCAUAUCAUUUAGAGGAAGGUGAAGUCGUAACA